AUCCGCUUCUCAACCUGGGGUCUUAACUUUCGAGAGAUGGCAGAGGUGUUCAUCUCUCUCUCUCUCUCUCUCUCUCUUAAAAAUCUGUCUUCACUGAGAUCGUCACGGUAAUUAUCACGGUGGACCUGCACUGCUGCACCUGCUCCAAGAAGAUCAAGAAAACUCUGUGCAAGCUCCAAAACCGGUUCAACAUCGAAUCAAUCGUCUACGACGAGAAGAAGAACACCAUCACAGUAUCCGGCCCCUUCAACCCUGACUGCUUCAUCAAGAAGCUUCGCUGCCUCGCCUGCAAGGUGAUCAUAUGUGUCCAGAUCAAGCCGAAACCCGUCAAACCACCGCCACCGCCACCGCCGCCGCCGCCGCCGCCUAAGGUGGAGGUGGAGGUGAAUUUAGACGUGUGUGUUUUCCCGCCCCCGGGGUGGCCCAACUGCUGUGCCUGCGACGGCCCCCCGCCGUCCGCCUCCUGCCGUCCCUGUCGCGAGUUUGACGGCUGCAGGAUCAUCGUCGAGCAGGAGCCUUGUCAGUCCUGCUCUAUUAUGUAGUUUCCUAUACGUAUUCUUAUUCUCGUUGCAAGAUGUUAUUGGGUAAGAGAUAACGGAUAAGGCGGACAGAGGUAAACGUCAUGUGACUUCCUCUGUCAGCAAUGUACGUAUGUGAUGAUAUAUAUGUUUAUGCUGUUAUAUCUCA